UACGUAGGGUGCAAGCGUUAAUCGGAAUUACUGGGCGUAAAGCGUGCGCAGGCGGCUUUGCAAGACAGAUGUGAAAUCCCCGGGCUUAACCUGGGAACUGCAUUUGUGACUGCAUGGCUGGAGUGCGGCAGAGGGGGAUGGAAUUCCGCGUGUAGCAGUGAAAUGCGUAGAUAUGCGGAGAACACCGAUGGCGAAGGCAAUCCCCUGGGCCUGCACUGACGCUCAUGCACGAAAGCGUGGGGAGCAAACAGG
rnacentral:rRNA from 1 species